rnacentral:rRNA from 1 species
AUUGAACGCUGGCGGUAUGCUUAACACAUGCAAGUCGAACGGUAACAGGCCUUCGGGCGCUGACGAGUGGCGGACGGUGAGUAACGCGUAGGAAUCUGCCUCAUAGUGGGGACAACGUGGGGAAACUCACGCUAAUACCGCAUACGCCCUACGGGGAAAGCGGGGAGUCUUCGGACCUCGCGCUAUGAGAUGAGCCUGCGUCAGAUUAGCUAGUUGGUAGGGUAAAGGCCUACCAAGGCGACGAUCUAUAGCUGGUCUGAGAGGGCGAUCAGCCACACUGGGACUGAGACACGGCCCAGACUCCUACGGGAGGCAGCAGUGGGGAAUAUUGGACAAUGGGCGCAAGCCUGAUCCAGCAAUACCGCGUGUGUGAAGAAGGCCCUAGGGUUGUAAAGCACUUUCAAUUGGGAGGAAAACCUGCCGGUCAAUACCCGGCAGCUUGACAUUACCUUUAGAGAAGCACCGGCUAACUCCGUGCCAG